GUUUACAUCCCAAAGACGCGUCGGGUGGGCCCCAGUAACAGACAUUCACCCUGGAGCGAGUCGACAACAACAGCCACUCCCCUGUGUUGUGCUGGGUUUCCGCCAGAACCCACUGGACUGC